AUUGAACGCUGGCGGCAUGCUUUACACAUGCAAGUCGAACGGCAGCGCGGGCUUCGGCCUGGCGGCGAGUGGCGAACGGGUGAGUAAUGCAUCGGAACGUGCCCAGUAGUGGGGGAUAGCCCGUCGAAAGCCGGAUUAAUACCUCAUACGACCUGAGGGUGAAAGCGGGGGACCGAAAGGCCUCGCGCUAUUGGAGCGUCCGAUGUCGGAUUAGCUAGUUGGUGGGGUAAAGGCUUACCAAGGCGACGAUCCGUAGCUGGUCUGAGAGGACGACCAGCCACACUGGGACUGAGACACGGCCCAGACUCAUACGGGAGGCAGCAGUGGGGAAUUUUGGACAAUGGGGGCAACCCUGAUCCAGCCAUGCCGCGUGCGGGAAGAAGGCCUUCGGGUUGUAAACCGCUUUUGUUCGGGAAGAAAUCCUCUGGGCUAAUACCCCGGGGGGAUGACGGUACCGGAAGAAUAAGCACCGGCUAACUACGU
rnacentral:rRNA from 1 species